GACGAACGCUGGCGGCGUGCUUAACACAUGCAAGUCGAACGGAAAGGCCCCUUUGGGGGUACUCGAGUGGCGAACGGGUGAGUAACACGUGAGUAACCUGCCCUUGACUUCGGGAUAACUUCAGGAAACUGGGGCUAAUACCGGAUAGGAAUCCUUGCUGCAUGGUGGGGGUUGGAAAGCUUCGGCGGUUUUGGAUGGACUCGCGGCUUAUCAGCUUGUUGGUGGGGUAGUGGCUUACCAAGGCUUUGACGGGUAGCCGGCCUGAGUGGGCGACCGGCCACAUUGGGACUGAGAUACGGCCCAGACUCCUACGGGAGGCAGCAGUGGGGAAUAUUGCACAAUGGGCGGAAGCCUGAUGCAGCAACGCCGCGUGCGGGAUGACGGCCUUCGGGUUGUAAACCGCUUUCAGCAGGGGCGAAGCUUGUGGUGACGGUACCUGCAGAAGAAGCACCGGCUAACUACGUG
rnacentral:rRNA from 1 species